rnacentral:RNase_P_RNA from 1 species
AAAGUUGGUUAGGCAAUCGCUCCUUCUUUGAGAAGGGGAGGAAAGUCCGGGCUCCAUAGGGCGAGGUGCCAGGUAACUCCUGGGAGAUGUGAGUCUACGGAAAGUGCAACAGAAAAGAAACCGCCCAUUAAUGCUUUUAGCACAAUGGGUAAGGGUGAAAUGGUGCGGUAAGAGCGCACCACGUUCUUGGUAACAAGGACGGUAAGGCAAACCCCACCUGGAGCAAGACCAAAUAGGAAUCCAGCGUAACUGCACGUAUGGCCCAUACGGGAUUCGGGUAGGUCGCAUGAGGUCGAAGGUGACUUCGAUCCCAGAUGAAUGAUUGUCCACGACAGAACCCGGCUUAUCGACCAACUUUACCU